UAUUCCCACAAAAUUGUGUUCGUUUCUUCGAACGUUCUGACUCCAAAAAAAAUUUGCAAAAAUGAUUAAAUUUAUAAUUAAUUUACAUCUAUUUUUAAUUCAACUUAUUUUAUAUUGGAAAUCAGUUACGGAGGAAUUUGGUUGCGACUCUGAAACAUCAAUUAAAUCUUGCAUUGUAGCUUUAGCCUUUGUUAUAGGAACUGACCGGGUGCUGUUGAAAAUCCUAUUCGAACCCUCGAAAUUAUUUCCAUCAAGUCUUUUCUAUGAUGUCUGUCUUGUUAUUAUUAAUUUAUUUCAGAUGCCAAUGAUUUUUACUGGAAACGAUAUAUUUCUAGCAAUUUUUAAAAACUUUCUAAUGGCUGAUAAAGAAUCUAAAUCUUGGAGUAAUAUUGGAUUUCAGUUUUGGACCAAAACAAAUGAAAAAGAACCGACAUAUCUUGGUUACAUUGUGGCUUGUGUGCUAUUAUGUGCAGGAAUAUUGCCAAUAAGAAAGAUUUAUAAAUCAAUGCAGAGAGGUUUUGGAUUUAAACAGUAGUAUUUGAUGUUAUAAUAACGGGUCCUGACUGAUUUUGGAAUUCCAACUGCCCAAUACCGGUAUAUCAAACCUAAUUGUCAAAGUUUGUCAAGUAAAUGAUGAAUUUCUAAAAAAAAAUUGAGAAAAUCAUG